GAUGAACGCUGGCGGCGUGCCUAAUACAUGCAUGUCGAGCGAACGGACGAGAAGCUUGCUUUUCUGAUGUUAGCGGCGGACGGGUGAGUAACACGUGGAUAACCUACCUAUAAGACUGGGAUAACUUCGGGAAACCGGAGCUAAUACCGGAUAAUAUUUUGAACCGCAUGGUUCAAAAGUGAAAGACGGUCUUGCUGUCACUUAUAGAUGGAUCCGCGCUGCAUUAGCUAGUUGGUAAGGUAACGGCUUACCAAGGCAACGAUGCAUAGCCGACCUGAGAGGGUGAUCGGCCACACUGGAACUGAGACACGGUCCAGACUCCUACGGGAGGCAGCAGUAGGGAAUCUUCCGCAAUGGGCGAAAGCCUGACGGAGCAACGCCGCGUGAGUGAUGAAGGUCUUCGGAUCGUAAAACUCUGUUAUUAGGGAAGAACAUAUGUGUAAGUAACUGUGCACAUCUUGACGGUACCUAAUCAGAAAGCCACGGCUAACUACGUG
rnacentral:rRNA from 1 species